AUUGAACGCUGGCGGAAUGCUUUACACAUGCAAGUCGAACGGCAGCACGGACUUCGGUCUGGUGGCGAGUGGCGAACGGGUGAGUAAUGUAUCGGAACGUGCCCAGUCGUGGGGGAUAACGUAGUGAAAAUUACGCUAAUACCGCAUACGAUCUAUGGAUGAAAGCGGGGGAUCGCAAGACCUCGCGCGAUUGGAGCGGCCGAUAUCAGAUUAGGUAGUUGGUGGGGUAAAGGCCCACCAAGCCAACGAUCUGUAGCUGGUCUGAGAGGACGACCAGACAGAGUGGAACUGAGACACGGUCCAGACACCUGCGGGAGGCAGCAGUGGGGAAUUUUGGACAAUGGGCGAAAGCCUGAUCCAGCCAUUCCGCGUGCAGGAUGAAGGCACUCGGGUUGUAAACUGCUUUUGUACAGAACGAAAAGGUUUCUACUAAUACUAGGAGCUCAUGACGGUACUGUAAGAAUAAGUACCGGCUAACUACGUGCCAGCCGCCGCAGUAA
rnacentral:rRNA from 1 species